rnacentral:rRNA from 1 species
AUUGAACGCUGGCGGCAUGCUUUACACAUGCAAGUCGAACGGCAGCGGGGGCUUCGGCCCGCCGGCGAGUGGCGAACGGGUGAGUAAUGCAUCGGAACGUGCCCAGUCGUGGGGGAUAACACAUCGAAAGAUGUGCUAAUACCGCAUACGUCCUGAGGGAGAAAGCGGGGGAUCUUCGGACCUCGCGCGAUUGGAGCGGCCGAUGUCGGAUUAGCUAGUUGGUGGGGUAAAAGCCCACCAAGGCGACGAUCCGUAGCGGGUCUGAGAGGAUGAUCCGCCACACUGGGACUGAGACACGGCCCAGACUCCUACGGGAGGCAGCAGUGGGGAAUUUUGGACAAUGGGGGCAACCCUGAUCCAGCCAUGCCGCGUGAGUGAAGAAGGCCUCGGUUGUAAGACUCUUUCGGUACGGAAGGAAAUACGCCGCCUCUAACACAGGCGGUGGAGUGACGGUACCGUAAGAAGAAGCACCGGCUAACUACGUGCCAGCAGCCGCGGU